AAUCAACGCUGGCGGCGUGCCUCAGACAUGCAAGUCGAACGCGAAAUUUCCCUUCGGGGAGAAGUAGAGUGGCGCACGGGUGAGUAACACGUAGGUAAUUUGCCUUUGGGUGGGGAAUAACUCAGGGAAACUUGAGCUAAUACCGCAUAAUGCAGCGGCUCGACAUCGAGACAGUUGUUAAAGCGGGGGAUUGGAGCAAUCCGACCUCGCGCCUAAAGAGAAGCCUGCGGCAGAUUAGCUAGUUGGUAAGGUAAUGGCUUACCAAGGCGACGAUCUGUAACCGGCCUGAGAGGGCGGUCGGUCACACUGACACUGACAUACGGGUCAGACUCCUACGGGAGGCAGCAGUCGGGAAUUUUGGGCAAUGGGCGCAAGCCUGACCCAGCAACGCCGCGUGAAGGAUGAAAUUUUC
rnacentral:rRNA from 1 species